AGCCGUGUGGCCGAGUGGCGAGGUCGAGGUCUGCAAAACCUUAUACGAUGGUUCGAGUCCAUCCGCGGCGU
rnacentral:tRNA from 1 species